AUACGGAGGGGGCAAGCGUUGUUCGGAAUUAUUGGGCGUAAAGGGCACGUAGGCGGUCAAGCAAGUUGGUGGUGAAAGCCCUCGGCUCAACCGGGGAAUUGCCCCCAAAACUGCUCGACUUGAGUCCCGGAGAGGGUGGCGGAAUUCCCAGUGUAGCGGUGAAAUGCGUAGAUAUUGGGAGGAACACCAGUGGCGAAGGCGGUCACCUGGACGGGUACUGACGCUGAGGUGCGAAAGCGUGGGGAGCAAACAGGAUUAGAAACCCCAGUAGUCC
rnacentral:rRNA from 1 species